GAUGAACGCUGGCGGCGUGCUUAAUACAUGCCAGUCGAGCGAACGGACGAGAAGCUUGCUUUUCUGAUGUUAGCGGCGGACGGGUGAGUAACACGUGGAUAACCUACCUAUAAGACUGGGAUAACUUCGGGAAACCGGAGCUAAUACCGGAUAAUAUUUUGAACCGCAUGGUUCAAAAGUGAAAGACGGUCUUGCUGUCACUUAUAGAUGGAUCCGCGCUGCAUUAGCUAGUUGGUAAGGUAACGGCUUACCAAGGCAACGAUGCAUAGCCGACCUGAGAGGGUGAUCGGCCACACUGGAACUGAGACACGGUCCAGACUCCUACGGGAGGCAGCAGUAGGGAAUCUUCCGCAAUGGGCGAAAGCCUGACGGAGCAACGCCGCGUGAGUGAUGAAGGUCUUCGGAUCGUAAAACUCUGUUAUUAGGGAAGAACAUAUGUGUAAGUAACUGUGCACAUCUUGACGGUACCUAAUCAGAAAGCCACGGCUAACUACGUG
rnacentral:rRNA from 1 species